UCUAGAAGCCGCUUGUUACCAUCCAUCAGCGAGCACCUUGGGAGCAGCACAAUUCCAAUUUCAUCUCGGUCUGUGGCAGGCAGAUCGCCGCGGUAACGCAUGCCAGCGUUGUACACCACCCAAGCAUUGCGGACCUCACCUAUUGUCCUAAGGAGACCACGGCUGAGCCAUCUACCAGGCUGGGGCAGGACCAGAGCUCAGCUGUUUCCAAGUGGUACACACAGUUGCUUCCUCCCUUAAUUGCCUGUCCAAUCACAGCACAGCACAAGACAUUUAGAUAGGAAGACAAGGCAACGCGGGGUACUUUGCUACUGAAUAAAUAUUACCAGGUUUGGUACAAGUUCCGAGAGCAUCAAUCCUGAAUCUGGUUUAAUAUUGUGGAAAUGUAAGCAGGAGGACUUUGUGAGGCUGCAGCUGCUGUUACCACGAGUGAUACACUCAAUAUAUGAAACAUUAAAC